GUAACUCUCCUCCCAUUUAUUAUUAUUGAUAUUCAUCUCCAAUCCUUCAUAAAAAAAACUGUACGUUUAGAGAACAAAUCUUGAUCGAAUCCUCUGAUUUCAUUUCGCAAUGCAGGUUGGACGAUUUGGACUCAUCAAUAUCAUCAAUGGAUCCCGGCACGAUUAAAAGGAAGAGAGUACGUUUCAACCUAAAAGGGGUCCUCUUUGGUGGGACUGGUGGACGCAGGUAUUCAUCCAGAUCAUUGAGAUUCGAGGUGAAGAGAGGAUCCGAAAACCUGCUAACCAUCGGCCGGUCCCUCAAAAGUAAUGUCACCCGAGCUGUGUUCCCGGAAGACCUCAAAGUUUCGGAAAAGAGGAUCUUUGAUCCUCAGGACACCUCAUUGCUGCUGUGGAACAGGAUGUUUGUGAUAUCGUGCAUCGUUUCGGUGUCGAUCGACCCUCUCUACUUUUACCUCCCUGUAUUCAACUAUUCCAUGAGUUGCCUUGGUAUGGACACACAAUUGGCAGAGACCAUCCUGACAGCAAGGACGGUGCUUGAUAUGUUCCAUCUGCUUCGCAUGGCUCUGCAGUUCCGAACAGCCUUUGUAGCGCCAUCUUCUCGUGUUUUUGGAAGAGGUGAACUUGUCAUAGAUCCUGCACAGAUAGCUGCCAGAUACCUGCAGCGGUAUUUCAUUGUUGAUUUCCUCUCCAUUUUGCCACUUCCCCAGGUAAAUAAUGAAACAAACUGUAGCACGUCCCUAUUUGCACAUUAUUUAUUAGCCUUUCAUUAUUCAGAUCAUAUUGGUAACGAAGAAGAAACAGUUAUCAUCUCUCUUUUAUAUUUUAUGCAGAUUGUGGUAUGGAAAUAUCUCCACAACAAGAAGAAGGGUUCAGAAGUGUUGGCAACAAAACAGGCACUGUUGUACAUAGUGUUCCUUCAAUACAUACCUAGGUUUACUCGCUUCUUC
rnacentral:lncRNA from 1 species